GCCUGCAACCGGCGCUUUGCAACUCUCACAUGGUCGCCCACUGAAGCUAAGCAGGGCUGCGCCCAGUCAGUACCUGGAUGGGAGACCACAUAGGAACACUAGGCUGCUGUUGGCA
ensembl:rRNA 5S_rRNA 5S ribosomal RNA